CUAACACAUGCAAGUCGAACGAGGGUAGCAAUACUCUAGUGGCGGACGGGUGAGGAAUACGUAGGAAUUGCCCUUAAGUGGGGGAUAACCCGGGGAAACCCGGAUUAAUACCGCAUGAUCUUUUCGAAGCAAAGCCGGGGACCGCAAGCCUGGCGCUUUUGGAGAAGCCUACGUCGGAUUAGCUAGUUGGUGAGGUAAUGGCUCACCAAGGCUGCGAUCCGUAACUGGUCUGAGAGGAUGAUCAGUCACAUCGGAACUGAGACACGGUCCGAACUCCUACGGGAGGCAGCAGUGGGGAAUAUUGGACAAUGGGCGAAAGCCUGAUCCCAAUACCGCGUGUGCGAAGAAGGCCUCGGGUGUAAGCAUUAGGUCGGAAAGAAAAAACUUGAGUAUACUUAAGUCUUGACGGUACCGACAG
rnacentral:rRNA from 1 species